AGGCCGCCCGGUGUUGUGUCGUCAGGUAGCCGCCUCCCCACCUCUUCUGCUUGUUCUCCGCGGCGGCGGCUUGGAUCGGAGCGGAGGAAGAAGAUGGUGGCAUCGAUCAGGGUGCCCAAGACCCAACGCGCCAGGCGGGAGCUUCUCAAGCACGCGCCCAAGCUUGUUGAGACCAGCAAGAAGACACUGAUCCUCCAUGGUACCAAGACUAGUGCUGUGUUGAACUCUGUGCUGUCAGAUAUUUACCACCUAAAGCGUGAUAAUGCUGUGAAAUAUACCAAGAAGAAUGACAACAUUAGGCCUUUUGAAAGUGGUGGAGAAUCUUCUCUGGAGUUUUUCUCUCUUAAGGCAGACUGUAGCCUUAUAGUGUAUGGUUCUCAUUCAAAGAAGAGGCCCAACAAUCUGAUUUUGGGUAGAACGUAUGACCACCACAUAUAUGACCUUGUUGAAGUAGGAGUUGAGAACUACAAGUCAAUGGAAUCUUAUGUUUAUGAUAAGAAGCUAGCACCAUUACUUGGAUCGAAGCCUUUCUUUGCUUUCAUAGGGGAACACUUUGAGAGUGCUGAAGAGCUGAAACAUUUGAAAGAAGUGCUGCUUGAUCUUUUCAGAGGAGAGGUCGUAGAGAAUCUGAACCUUGCUGGUGUGGAUCGGAUCUAUGUGUGCACUGCAAUCUCUCCCACUACCGUCUACAUGAUGCACUGUGCUCUCCGUCUAAAAAGGUCAGGUACAUCUAUUCCUAGGAUGGAACUGGUCGAAGUUGGACCUUCGAUGGAUCUGGUUGUAAGGAGGCACAGACUUCCAGCUGAAAGUUUAAAGAAAGAAGCUAUGAAGACCGCUGAACAUGCUAAGAAGAUGAAAAACGUCACUAAGGAUCCAGUGCAGGGCAAGCUGGGCAAGGUCUACAUGCCAGACCAGCAGGUUGGAAAGUUGACCUUAUCAAACGACAUAAAGGGACUAAAGAGGGAGCGCCGUGAAGCCAAGAAAAACCAGGACUCAAAGAAGCAAAAGGUCAACCCCGAGUAAAGAUCACUGAAGUUUACCUUUGCAUUGGAUACAGGUCAGGUUAAGAAACCCUGGUUUGUAUCUGUUCCCAUCUGCUGUGUUAUCCAAUUAGAAGUUGCUCGUUGUCAGAUUGUGUUAAAUAGUUUAGGGCCAUCUUGUUAGGCUAAAGACAUGUGUACGACUUUCACAACAAUAUUGCGUACCAAUUCAUGUUAAGACGUAAGCAUGGAAAAAUUUGGGAGUGUUAUCCUAUCAAA